AAAAAAUGCCAUCCAAUUCAUGUUCACUUUCAUUACCAUGCAAUUUCUCCUUUUUUCCAUUACUUCCCCUUUUUCUUUUCCAUUUUCUAGGCACCUGAAAGACCAAAGUGCCCCUGAUCCUAUCUAACCUUAUCUGAUGCGUGUGGACUGGUUGGAUAAGGAUUGCUCUCAGGCUACCUCGCUCUUGUCGUCACGGGUUGCUCGUCGUCGAACCUCACCGCUGCCAGCCCAAGCCACCGCAGCUCUCCGCCCUAGCUUGCCCACGCCUGUGCGAGCAACCGUAGCUCCCCGACGGUGCUCACCGACGCUGAUGCCCGAGCGAGCCACUGCGACUCGCUGCCGGUUCUCGUCCACGUCUGCAGGCGCCGGCGCAGUUCGUCCUCGCCUCGCGGAUGCCUGCGCUAGAUACCGCAGCUCGCUGCGGGUUCUCCCCCACGCCUGCGCGCGAUAGCGCAGCUCUCUGCGGGUGCUUGCCAUCCCCUCGGCUCAUUGGCGCAGCUCGCCCUCCCCUGCUGGAGAAGUGUUUUAGUGGCGAGGGUGGUGCUGAAGAGAAGACGAUGCCUUGUACAGGUCCUGAGCAAGUGGCGUGAUGGCAGCAGCGGCCGGAGGAGGAGAUGGAUUCGUGUGUAGGUCCUGAAGAUGUUGAAUGCAAGCAACAUUGGUGACUUCCGGGCAAAGCCAGGGCGGCUGCUUGACAUUGUGGGGUUGAUUAACAUCUGCCACUGAGUCGCUGGAUCUACCUAUUAUUACUUGCAAUCCAGUAGUAGAGCACCCUGACUCAUUCAGCUCCGUAAGCAUCCUUUGUUCCCUUUCUUUUGGUUGUUUGAAUCAUUUGAUUCCACUUUGUUUCCAUCGCAAAGAAAAAUUACCACCAAUUAAAUCGACCCGUGGUGAUAAUAUAUGUGAUCAAUUUAUGUUUGUCAUCCUCGUGUUCUUGUACGAUUAACAUCCAUCAUCUGUUUUUGGAAUAAAGAAAUGUAACUACUCUAUA